UCUAUAUAUAUUACUUCUCUUCAAAAUUUUUCCUUCUCAUGUCCUUUUCCUCUGCGAAGCCUACCGCCACCGUCAGCCAGCGAACCCAUUGCCGUGACUUGAACGGUGCCCGCUGGAAUCUCUUUAUUCUGUAAUUUUGGAUAAUACUUGAAAACGACAUCUAUCCAAUUACGUUUCAAAUAAUAGGAUCAACAAGAAUUUCAAACACAAGGAGUUUGCAUGGUAACAGGAAAUUACUAUUAUUCAGAUCCACCAGAAAUAUUCCAGCAGAAAGCCAGUCAACAAAUAAUCGGACUGUGGCAUUAUUAUUAAUCCAAUGGAUAUUAUUUUAUAGAGCAGUUGAAACAGAGACUUUGACAGUAUGAGAAGGAUAAGAAAUUGACCCAUGUACAAUUCAAAGAAAAAUUAGAGAGGAUGCUACUCAUCUGCUUUUGAAAGGCCUCCUAUGUUAAAUAGACGAGGAUUCCAACUCCAUUUGGGAACAAGGCAGAUAAAAACAUGUUUCUCCAGGAAACAAAACCCACAAAACCAAACUUUCUCCCCCACAGCACCGAGUUUCCUGGGCUCAUUCAACCUAGAAUCCCCUCCACCAUAUCGCCACCAGCUAUACCAUUACAUAACCUGCCACAACAUGCUCAACCUUGUCAUCAAAACUUUUCAUUGGACUCUGUAGCUUAUACAAAACUGGUCCAGUUCCCUACCAAAUCUGGGUCUCUUAUUUAUGGCAAGGCUGCUCAUGGCCACAUGAUUAAAACUGCUUUCAGAUCAUGCCUAUUUUUGCUAAACAAUCUUCUCCUUAUGUAUUGCAAAUGUGGUGAGAUAAAUAGCGCUCGUCAGAUGUUUGAUAGAAUGCCAAAGCACAAUGUUAUUUCAUAUAAUUCUCUGCUUUCUGGUUAUUCCCAGAUGGGUCUUUUUGUUAAGGCCAUGGAGGUGUUUAAUGAAGCAAGAGUUGUUGGUUUGAAACUUGAUAAGUUCACCUUUGCUGGUGCUUUAAAUCUGUGUGGUCAAACUGGGGAUCUUCUGUUGGAUUUGUACUCAAAAUGUGGUCAGGUCAAUAGGGCGGCACUUUUGUUUGAGUGUUCUAAUGACUUGGAUGAAGUUUCUUGGAAUUCCUUGAUUGCUGGUUAUGUUAGAAUUGGUGCCAAUGAGGAAAUGGUGAAACUUGUUGGAAAAAUGCACCAAUUAGGAUUGAAGUUGAAUACUUAUGCACUGGGAAGUGUACUGAAGGCAUGUGGCACAAAUUAUAAGGAUUCAAAUCAACAUGGGAAUGCACUUCAUGCCUUCUCAGUCAAACUUGGAUUGGAUUUGGAUGAUGUGGUUGCAACUGCAUUACUUGAUAUGUAUGCCAAGACUGGGGAUCUGGUUGAUGCAAUCCAAAUUUUCAAACUGAUGUCCGACCAAAGCAUCUUCAUCUAUAAUGCCAUGAUCUCUGGAUUCCUCCAUGGUGAGACCAUUAGUGAUGAAUAUGCAAAUGAAGCUUUUGAUAUUUUCUCUAAGAUGCAAAAGAAAGUAAUGAAACCCUCAAAGUUUACGUUCUCUAGCAUGCUUAAAGCUUGUAAUGCUGUUGAAGCAUUUGAUUAUGGAAAGCAAAUUCAUGCUCAAAUUUGCAAGUGGAACCUACAGUCGGAUGAGUUCAUUGGAAGUGCACUAACUGAUUUGUACUUUUUGUCAGGUUCAGUUGAGGAUGGAGCUAAAUGUUUUGCUGUAACUCCUAAGCUAGAUAUUGUCUCAUGGACAUCCAUCAUCUCAGGUUAUGUUCAAAAUGGGCAUUUUGGAAGUGCAUUGGCUUUGUUCUAUGAACUUCUCUCAUUUGGAAUGAAACCUGAUGAGUUCAUAAUAUCAAGUAUGUUGGGUGCUUGUUCUAAUUUGGCAUCCCCAAGAUCUGGACGGCAGAUUCAGGGAUAUGCAAUAAAAACUGGCAUUGGCAAAUUUACUAUUAUUCAAAAUUCACAAAUUUGCAUGUAUGCAAAGUCUGGAGACAUUGAUUCUUCUCGUCUGACCUUUGAAGAGAUGGAAAAUCCAGAUGUGGUGUCCUGGUCCGUGAUGAUCAGUAGCAAUGCGCAACAUGGGUGUGCAAGAAAGCAUUGAGUCUUUUCGAGUUGAUGAAGGGUUAUGGAAUUGCACCCAGCCACAUUACGUUCCUUGGAGUUUUGACGGCCUGUAGUCAUGGAGGUCUUGUUAAAGAAGGACUCCGAUUCUUUGAAAGCAUGAAGAAAGAUUACUGCAUGGCAGUUAAUGUAAGGCACUGUGCCUGCAUUGUUGACCUCCUGGGUCGUGUGGGAAAGUUGGCUGAUGCUGAAAAUUUCAUUCUGAACUCAGGCUUUGAGGAAGAUCCAGUGAUGUGGCGAGCCUUAUUGAGCGCUUGUAGGGUUUAUAAGGACACUGUCACAGGAAAACGUGUUGCAGAGAGAGUAAUUGAGCUUGAACCUCAGGGAUCUGCAUCUUAUGUGCUUCUUUACAACAUCUACAAUGAUGCCGGGAUAAAUUUACCUGCGACAAAAAUUAGGGAAUUGAUGAAAGAUCGAGGAGUUAAGAAGGAACCUGGUUUAAGUUGGAUCGAGGUAGGGAACGAAGUUCAUUGCUUUGUGGUGGGUGAUCGAUCUCACCCAAUGAGUCAAGUGAUAUAUACAUGCUUAGAAGAGAUGAUGAAGAGGAUAGAGAAAUUAGGUUACAUAGAAGAGAGGCCUAUUUCUAGUAUCUCUGAACCAAAACUCAAUGCCAGCACAGUGAUGAACUACCACAGUGAAAAGUUAGCUGUGACUUAUGGGAUUCUCAGUCUGCCAGCAUCAGCACCAGUGAGGGUGAUGAAGAACUUGAGAGUUUGUCAAGAUUGUCAUACAAUGAUGAAGUUCUUGUCGAGAGUAGAAAAGAGAGAGAUAAUUCUUAGAGAUUCAAUUCGUUUCCAUCAUUUUAGAGGAGGUACGUGUUCUUGUGGAGAUUACUGGUAGUUUCAAUAGAAGUUAAAUUUUGGGUUAGUGAUAGGAGAAAUGAGUAAAUGUUCUGGCCACAAAUGUUGAGUCAUAUGAGUGAAUAUUUUGCUUUAGUACUAGAAUCUAUAUUUUUCUAAAUAGCAAUGUUAUAGACAAUAAAUUUUACAAAUUAUUAAAAUUAUGAUUGAUGGGGGAAAAAAGAACCCACCACAAAGGUUGUAAGCUUAUUUUGUAUUGUAAGCUUAUUUUGUAUACAUAUUUACGCUUCUCAAGAAUUCUGAAAAAAAUAUUGAUAAGUCAACAAUAAUGUAAUUUUCUUGAUUUGGUUUCCAUUGCAAA